CCUACGGGUGGCUGCAGUGGGGAAUAUUGCACAAUGGGCGCAAGCCUGCUGCAGCCAUGCCGCGUGUGUGAAGAAGGCCUUCGGGUUGUAAAGCACUUUCAGCGGGGAGGAAGGCGGUGAGGUUAAUAACCUCAUCGAUUGACGUUACCCGCAGAAGAAGCACCGGCUAACUCCGUGCCAGCAGCCGCGGUAAUACGGAGGGUGCAAGCGUUAAUCGGAAUUACUGGGCGUAAAGCGCACGCAGGCGGUCUGUCAAGUCGGAUGUGAAAUCCCCGGGCUCAACCUGGGAACUGCAUUCGAAACUGGCAGGCUAGAGUCUUGUAGAGGGGGGUAGAAUUCCAGGUGUAGCGGUGAAAUGCGUAGAGAUCUGGAGGAAUACCGGUGGCGAAGGCGGCCCCCUGGACAAAGACUGACGCUCAGGUGCGAAAGCGUGGGGAGCAAACAGGAUUAGAUACCCGGGUAGUC
rnacentral:rRNA from 1 species